AUGGGAAAGACUAGAGAUCUCUUCAAGAAAAUUAGAGAUACCAAGGGAACAUUUCAGGCAAAGAUCGGCUCGAUAAAGGACAGAAAUGGUAUGGAUCUAACGGAAGCAGAAGAUAUUAAGAAGAGGUGGCAAGAAUACACAGAAGAACUGUACAAAAUAGAUCUUCACGACCAAGAUAAUUUCGAUGGUAUGAUCACUCACCUAGAGCCAGACAUCCUGGAAUGUGAAGUCAAGUGGGCCUUAGAAAGCAUCACUAUGAACAAAGCUAGUGGGGGUGAUGGAAUUCCAGUAGAGCUAUUUCAAAUCCUGAAAGAUGAUGCUGUGAAAGUGCUGCACUCAAUAUGCCAGCACAUUUGGAAAACUCAGCAGUGGCCACAGGACUGGAAAAGGUCAGUUUUCAUUCCAAUCCCAAAGAAAGGAAAUGCCAAAGAAUGCUCAAACUACUGCACAAUUGCACUCAUCUCACACGCUAGUAAAGUAAUGCUCAAAAUUCUCCAAGCCAGGCUUCAGCAAUAUGUGAACUGUGAACUUCCAGGUGUUCAAGCUGGUUUUAGAAAAGGCAGAGGAACCAGAGAUCAAAUUGCCGACAUCUGCUGGAUCAUGGAAAAAGCAAGAGAGUUCCCGAAAAACAUCUAUUUCUGCUUUAUUGACUAUGCCAAAGCCUUUGACUGUGUGGAUCACAAUAAACUGUGGAAAAUCCUGAAAGAGAUGGGAAUGCCAGACCACCUGACCUGCCUCUUGAGAAACCUAUGUGCAGGUCAGGAAGCAACAGUUAGAACUGGACAUAGAACAGACUGGUUCCAAAUAGGAAAAGGAGUAUGUCAAAGCUGUAUAUUGUCACCCUGCUUAUUUAACUUAUAUGCAGAGUACAUCAUGAGAAACACUGGGCUGGAAGAAGCACAAGCUGGAAUCAAAAUUGCUGGUAGAAAUAUCAAUAACCUCAGGUAUGCAGAUGACACCACCCUUGUGGCAGAAAGUGAAGAGGAACUAAAAAGCCUCUUGAUGAAAGUGGAAGUGGAGAGUGAAAAAGUUGGCUUAAAGCUCAACAUUCAGAAAACGAAGAUCAUGGCAUCUGGUCCCAUCACUUCAUGGGAAAUAAAUGGGGAAACAGUGGAAACAGUGUCAGACUUUAUUUAUUUGGGCUCCAAAAUCACUGCAGAUGGUGACUGCGGCCAUGAAAUUAAAAGAAGCUUACUCCUUGGAAGAAAAGUUAUGAGCAACCUAGAUAGCAUAUUCAAAAGCAGAGACAUUACUUUGUCGACUAAGGUCUGUCUAGUCAAGGCUAUGGUUUUUCCUGUGGUCAUGUAUGGAUGUGAGAGUUGGACUGUGAAGAAGGCUGAGUUAUGA
rnacentral:lncRNA from 1 species